rnacentral:misc_RNA from 1 species
GAUGAAGAACGUAGUGAAAUGCGAUACGUAAUGUGAAUUGCAGAAUUCAGUGAAUCAUCGAAUCUUUGAACGCACCUUGCGCUCCUUGGUAUUCCGAGGAGCAUGCCUGUUUGAGUGUCAUUAAUAUAUCAACCUCUUCAGCUUAUGCUUGUUGAGUGUUGGAUGGUGGGGGUUUGCUGGUGUCUUAUGAAGUCAGCUCCUCUGAAAUGCAUUAGCGGAACAAUUUGUUGACCGUUCAUUGGUGUGAUAAAAAUAUCUACGCUAUUGACGUCAGUCAGUUCAGCUUCUAACAGUCCAUUGACUUGGACAAAUUUUUCAUUAAUGUGACCUCAAAUCAGGUAGGACUACCCGCUGAACUUAAGCAUAUCAAUAAGCGGAGGA